rnacentral:misc_RNA from 1 species
UGUUCGAGCGUCAUUUCAACCCUCAAGCUCUGCUUGGUCUUGGGCCGCGCCGGCGACGGCGGGCCUCAAAAACAGUGGCGGCGCAUCGUGUCCCUCAGCGUAGUAAUUCUUCUCGCUGUUGGGCCCCGGUGGCGCUGGCCAGCAACCCCAAUUUUUCUAUGGUUGACCUCGGAUCAGGUAGGGAUACCCGCUGAACUUAA